CCACUCGAUGAUGAGGAACUGAUCUCCUACAUCCUCGCCGGCCUUGAGUACGACUACAACCCCAUCGUGUCAGCGAUCGUCUCAAGGACCGACGCAAUCUCCAUCGGCGAAGUCUUCUCCCAGCUGCUCAGCUUUGAGC